AGUGGCGGACGGGUGAGUAACGCGUGGGUAACCUGCCUUGUACUGGGGGACAACAGUUAGAAAUGACUGCUAAUACCGCAUAAGCGCACAGGACCGCAUGGUCUAGUGUGAAAAACUCCGGUGGUGUGAGAUGGACCCGCGUUUGAUUAGCUAGUUGGUGGGGUAACGGCCUACCAAGGCGACGAUCAAUAGCCGACCUGAGAGGGUGACCGGCCACAUUGGGACUGAGACACGGCCCAA
rnacentral:rRNA from 1 species